GGGCUCGUAGUGGAGCGGUUAACACGUCGCUCUUACACAGCGAAAACCCCCAGUUCGAAUCUGGGCGAGCCCA
rnacentral:tRNA from 1 species